AACGAACGCUGGCGGCAUGCCUAACACAUGCAAGUCGAACGAGACCUUCGGGUCUAGUGGCGCACGGGUGCGUAACGCGUGGGAACCUGCCCUUAGGUUCGGAAUAACUCCCCGAAAGGGGUGCUAAUACCGGAUAAUGUCUUCGGACCAAAGAUUUAUCGCCUUUGGAUGGGCCCGCGUUGGAUUAGCUAGUUGGUAGGGUAAAAGCCUACCAAGGCGACGAUCCAUAGCUGGUCUGAGAGGAUGAUCAGCCACACUGGGACUGAGACACGGCCCAGACUCCUACGGGAGGAAGCAGUGGGGAAUAUUGGACAAUGGGCGAAAGCCUGAUCCAGCAAUGCCGCGUGAGGGAUGAAGGCCUUAGGGUUGUAAAGCUCUUUUACCCGGGAUGAUAAUGACAGUACCGGGAGAAUAAGCGCCGGCUAACUCCGUG
rnacentral:rRNA from 1 species